rnacentral:rRNA from 1 species
GAUGAACGCUGGCGGCGUGCCUAAUACAUGCAAGUCGAGCGAACAGACGAGGAGCUUGCUCCUCUGACGUUAGCGGCGGACGGGUGAGUAACACGUGGAUAACCUACCUAUAAGACUGGGAUAACUUCGGGAAACCGGAGCUAAUACCGGAUAAUAUAUUGAACCGCAUGGUUCAAUAGUGAAAGACGGUUUUGCUGUCACUUAUAGAUGGAUCCGCGCCGCAUUAGCUAGUUGGUAAGGUAACGGCUUACCAAGGCAACGAUGCGUAGCCGACCUGAGAGGGUGAUCGGCCACACUGGAACUGAGACACGGUCCAGACUCCUACGGGAGGCAGCAGUAGGGAAUCUUCCGCAAUGGGCGAAAGCCUGACGGAGCAACGCCGCGUGAGUGAUGAAGGUCUUCGGAUCGUAAAACUCUGUUAUUAGGGAAGAACAAAUGUGUAAGUAACUAUGCACGUCUUGACGGUACCUAAUCAGAAAGCCACGGCUAACUACGUGCCAGCAGCCGCCGUAA